rnacentral:tRNA from 1 species
GCCUCUGUGGCGGAAUCGGUAGACGCGGCAGACUCAAAAUCUGUUGCCCGCAAGGGCGUGGGAGUUCGAGUCUCCCCGGAGGCACCA